AUGAACGCUGGCGGCGUGCCUAAUCCAUGCAAGUUGAGCGAACAGACGAGGAGCUUGCUCCUCUGACGUUAGCGGCGGACGGGUGAGUAACACGUGGAUAACCUACCUAUAAGAUUGGGAUAACUUCGGGAAACCGGAGCUAAUACCGGAUAAUAUAUUGAACCGCAUGGUUCAAUAGUGAAAGACGGUUUUGCUGUCACUUAUAGAUGGAUCCGCGCCGCAUUAGCUAGUUGGUAAGGUAACGGCUUACCAAGGCAACGAUGCGUAGCCGACCUGAGAGGGUGAUCGGCCACACUGGAACUGAGACACGGUCCAGACUCCUACGGGAGGCAGCAGUAGGGAAUCUUCCGCAAUGGGCGAAAGCCUGACGGAGCAACGCCGCGUGAGUGAUGAAGGUCUUCGGAUCGUAAAACUCUGUUAUUAGGGAAGAACAAAUGUGUAAGUAACUAUGCACGUCUUGACGGUACCUAAUCAGAAAGCCACGGCUAACUACGUG
rnacentral:rRNA from 1 species